rnacentral:rRNA from 1 species
UACGGAGGGUGCAAGCGUUAUCCGGAUUUACUGGGUUUAAAGGGUGCGUAGGCGGGUAGGUAGGUCAGUGGUGAAAUCUCCGAGCUUAACUCGGAAACUGCCUUUGAUACUAUUUAUCUUGAAUAUUGUGGAGGUAAGCGGAAUAUGUCAUGUAGCGGUGAAAUGCUUAGAUAUGACAUAGAACACCUAUUGCGAAGGCAGCUUACUACGCAUAUAAUUGACGCUGAGGCACGAAAGCGUGGGGAUCAAACAGG